CUAACACAUGCAAGUCGAGCGGUAACAUUUCUAGCUUGCUAGAAGAUGACGAGCGGCGGACGGGUGAGUAAUGCUUGGGAACAUGCCUUUAGGUGGGGGACAACCAUUGGAAACGAUGGCUAAUACCGCAUAAUGUCUACGGACCAAAGGGGGCUUCGGCUCUCGCCUUUAGAUUGGCCCAAGUGGGAUUAGCUAGUUGGUGAGGUAAUGGCUCACCAAGGCGACGAUCCCUAGCUGGUUUGAGAGGAUGAUCAGCCACACUGGAACUGAGACACGGUCCAGACUCCUACGGGAGGCAGCAGUGGGGAAUAUUGCACAAUGGGCGCAAGCCUGAUGCAGCCAUGCCGCGUGUGUGAAGAAGGCCUUCGGGUUGUAAAGCACUUUCAGUUGUGAGGAAAGGUUAGUAGUUAAUACCUGCUAGCUGUGACGUUAGCAACAGAAGAAGCACCGGCUAACUCCGUGCCAGCAGCCGCGGUAAUACGGAGGGUGCGAGCGUUAAUCGGAAUUACUGGGCGUAAAGCGUACGCAGGCGGUUUGUUAAGCGAGAUGUGAAAGCCCCGGGCUCAACCUGGGAACUGCAUUUCGAACUGGCAAACUAGAGUGUGAUAGAGGGUGGUAGAAUUUCAGGUGUAGCGGUGAAAUGCGUAGAGAUCUGAAGGA
rnacentral:rRNA from 1 species